rnacentral:rRNA from 1 species
GAAGAUGCAGUGUACCCGCGGCAAGACGGAAAGACCCCGUGAACCUUUACUAUAGCUUGACACUGAACAUUGAGCCUUGAUGUGUAGGAUAGGUGGGAGGCUUUGAAGCGUGGACGCCAGUCUGCGUGGAGCCGACCUUGAAAUACCACCCUUUAAUGUUUGAUGUUCUAACGUGGAUCCGUAAUCCGGGUUGCGGACAGUGUCUGGUGGGUAGUUUGACUGGGGCGGUCUCCUCCUAAAGAGUAACGGAGGAGCACGAAGGUUGGCUAAUCCUGGUCGGACAUCAGGAGGUUAGUGCAAUGGCAUAAGCCAGCUUGACUGCGAGCGUGACGGCGCGAGCAGGUGCGAAAGCAGGUCAUAGUGAUCCGGUGGUUCUGAAUGGAAGGGCCAUCGCUCAACGGAUAAAAGGUACUCCGGGGAUAACAGGCUGAUACCGCCCAAGAGUUCAUAUCGACGGCGGUGUUUGGCACCUCGAUGUCGGCUCAUCACAUCCUGGGGCUGAAGUAGGUCCCAAGGGUAUGGCUGUUCGCCAUUUAAAGUGGUACGCGAGCUGGGUUUAGAACGUCGUGAGACAGUUCGGUCCCUAUCUGCCGUGGGCGCUGGAGAACUGAGGGGGGCUGCUCCUAGUACGAGAGGACCGGAGUGGACGCAUCACUGGUGUUCGGGUUGUCAUGCCAAUGGCACUGCCCGGUAGCUAAAUGCGGAAGAGAUAAGUGCUGAAAGCAUCUAAGCACGAAACUUGCCCCGAGAUGAGUUCUCCCUGAGACUUAGAGUCUCCUGAAGGAACGUUGAAGACGACGACGUUGAUAGGCCGGGUGUGUAAGCGCAGCGAUGCGUUGAGCUAACCGGUACUAAUGAACCGUGAGGCUUAACCUUACAACGCCGAAG